rnacentral:lncRNA from 1 species
AUAAAAUGCUUUACUCCCAAUGCUGUUUACUUUGAGCACCAUAUCGAAAGUGUCAUAUGUACCCUUCUCACGAGAUCUGAGUUGGUUUCUCAAGGAAGCAUUUUCUGCAUCCAAAGCAUUGAUCUCAAUCUGUGGUUUCAGAUCACGAGAUUCUAUAUCUGCUUUCUUGACCUCCAACUCCUGGAAGAGUAGGCAACGUUCUCCUUUUAACUCUGUU